GACGAACGCUGGCGGCGUGCCUAAUACAUGCAAGUAGAACGCUGAAGGAGGAGCUUGCUUCUUCGGAUGAGUUGCGAACGGGUGAGUAACGCGUAGGUAACCUGCCUGGUAGCGGGGGAUAACUAUUGGAAACGAUAGCUAAUACCGCAUAACAGUAGAUGUUGCAUGACAUUUGCUUAAAAGGUGCAAUUGCAUCACUACCAGAUGGACCUGCGUUGUAUUAGCUAGUUGGUGGGGUAACGGCUCACCAAGGCGACGAUACAUAGCCGACCUGAGAGGGUGAUCGGCCACACUGGGACUGAGACACGGCCCAGACUCCUACGGGAGGCAGCAGUAGGGAAUCUUCGGCAAUGGACGGAAGUCUGACCGAGCAACGCCGCGUGAGUGAAGAAGGUUUUCGGAUCGUAAAGCUCUGUUGUAAGAGAAGAACGAGUGUGAGAGUGGAAAGUUCACACUGUGACGGUAUCUUACCAGAAAGGGACGGCUAACUACGUGCCAGCAGCCGCGGUAAUACGUAGGUCUCGAGCGUUGUCUGGAUUUAUUGGGCGUAAAGCGAGCGCAGGCGGUUAGAUAAGUCUGAAGUUAAAGGCUGUGGCUUAACCAUAGUACGCUUUGGAAACUGUUUAACUUGAGUGCAAGAGGGGAGAGUGGAAUUCCAUGUGUAGCGGUGAAAUGCAUAGAUAUAUGGAGGAACACCGGUGGCGAAAGCGGCUCUCUGGCUUGUAACUGACGCUGAGGCUCGAAAGCGUGGGGAGCAAACAGG
rnacentral:rRNA from 1 species